AUUGAACGCUGGCGGCAUGCCUUACACAUGCAAGUCGAACGGCAGCACGGGUCCUUGCACCUGGUGGCGAGUGGCGAACGGGUGAGUAAUAUAUCGGAACGUACCUUAUUGUGGGGGAUAACGCAGCGAAAGCUGUGCUAAUACCGCAUAAUCCCUAAGGGGGAAAGCGGGGGACCGUAAGGCCUCGCGCAAUUAGAGCGGCCGAUACCUGAUUAGCUAGUUGGUGAGGUAAAGGCUCACCAAGGCAACGAUCAGUAGCUGGUCUGAGAGGACGAGCAGCAACACUGGGACGGAGACACGGCCCAGACUCGUAGGGGAGGCAGCAGUGGGGAAUUUUGGACAAUGGGGGCAACCCUGAUCCAGCAAUGCCACGUGAGUGAAGAAGGCCUUCGGGUUGUAAAGCUCUUUUGUCAGGGAAGAAACAGCAGCUCUAACACAGUUUGCGAAUGACGGUACCUGAAGAAUAAGCACCGGCUAACUACGUGCCAGCCGCCGCCGUAA
rnacentral:rRNA from 1 species